UACGUAGGGGGCAAGCGUUGUCCGGAAUCAUUGGGCGUAAAGCGCGUGUAGGCGGCUUGGUAAGUCUGCUCUGAAAGCCCGGGGCUCAACCCCGGGAGGCGGGUGGAUACUGUCAAGCUCGAGUCCGGAAGAGGAGUGUGGAAUUCCUGGUGUAGCGGUGAAAUGCGCAGAUAUCAGGAGGACAGCCGGUGGCGAAGGCG
rnacentral:rRNA from 1 species